UGAAACUACGCCUACAUGAAGCUGGAGUUGCUAGUAAUCGCGAAUCAGCAUGUCGCGGUGAAUACGUUCCCGGGCCUUGUACACACCGCCCGUCACACCAUGAGAGUUGGCAAUACCCAACGUACGUGAUCUAACCCGCAAGGGAGGAAGCGUCCUAAGGUAGGGUCAGCGAUUGGGGUGAAGUCGUAACAAGGUAAC
rnacentral:rRNA from 1 species